rnacentral:rRNA from 1 species
GUCUCUAGUGGCGAACGGGUGAGUAACACGUAUGGAACCUGCCCGCGCACCGGGAAUACGCUCUGGAAACGGAGAACAAAUCCCGAUGUACAGGAAGGAGGCAUCUUCUUUCUGUGAAACAUCCUUUAGGGGAUGGGGCGCGGAUGGACCUGCGGUGCAUUAGUUUGUUGGCGGGGUAAAGGCCCACCAAGACGAUGAUGCAUAGCCGGCCUGAGAGGGCGGACGGCCACAUUGGGACUGAGACACGGCCCAGACUCCUGCGGGAGGCAGCAGUAGGGAAUUUUCGUCAAUGGGCGCAAGCCUGAACGAGCGAUGCCGCGUGAGUGAAGAAGGCCUUCGGGUCGUAAAGCUCUGUUGCGGGGGAAAAAAGGCAGCAUCAGGAAAUGGGUGCUGACUGAUGGUGCCCCGCCAGAAAGUCACGGCUAACUACGUGCCAGCAGCCGCGGUAAUACGUAGGUGGCGAGCGUUAUCCGGAAUGAUUGGGCGUAAAGGGUGCGCAGGCGGUCCUGCAAGUCUGGAGUGAAACGCAUGAGCUCAACUCAUGCAUGGCUUUGGAAACUGGAGGACUGGAGAGCAGGAGAGGGCGGUGGAACUCCAUGUGUAGCGGUAAAAUGCGUAGAUAUAUGGAAGAACACCAGUGGCGAAGGCGGCCGCCUGGCCUGUUGCUGACGCUGAGGCACGAAAGUGUGGGGAGCAAAUAGGAUUAGAUACCCUAGUAGUCCACGC